rnacentral:rRNA from 1 species
GACGAACGCUGGCGGCGUGCCUAAUACAUGCAAGUAGAACGCUGAAGGAGGAGCUUGCUUCUCUGGAUGAGUUGCGAACGGGUGAGUAACGCGUAGGUAACCUGCCUGGUAGCGGGGGAUAACUAUUGGAAACGAUAGCUAAUACCGCAUAAGAGUAGAUGUUGCAUGACAUUUGCUUAAAAGGUGCAAUUGCAUCACUACCAGAUGGACCUGCGUUGUAUUAGCUAGUUGGUGAGGUAACGGCUCACCAAGGCAACGAUACAUAGCCGACCUGAGAGGGGGAUCGGCCACACUGGGACUGAGACACGGCCCAGACUCCUACGGGAGGCAGCAGUAGGGAAUCUUCGGCAAUGGACGGAAGUCUGACCGAGCAACGCCGCGUGAGUGAAGAAGGGUUUCGGAUCGGAAAGCUCUGUUGUAAGAGAAGAACGAGUGUGAGAGUGGAAAGUUCACACUGUGACGGUAUCUUACCAGAAAGGGACGGCUAACUACGUG